rnacentral:rRNA from 1 species
CACGACUCAUCACUUUUCUAAGAUUUAUCUUAACGAACUUCACUAAAAAGUAACAAGGCUUUUACCAAAAAGAAGGACAACAAGACCCCGACGAACUUAAUAAUAUUUAGCUGGGGCAGCUAAAAAACAAAAACUUCUUACUAAUCCAUACCACGACCCGACAAUUUCGACCAAAGACCCAAGUUACCGCGGGGAUAACAGCAUAAUUAGACCCCAGAGCCCUUAUCUAACGUCUACCAUUUGACCUCGAUGUUGAAUUAAUACAAGCUACAUUUAGCAAAAAAAAUGUAAGCAGGUCUGUUCGACCUUUAAUAAAUUACAUGAUUUGAGUUCAGACCGGUGUAAGCCAGGUCAGUUUAUAUCCUCUUACAACUAAUGUUAGUACGAAAGGACCACACAAAAGUUCACA